ACGGAAGGCAGCAGUGGGGAAUAUUGGACAAUGGGGGAAACCCUGAUCCAGCGACGCCGCGUGAGUGAAGAAGUAUUUCGGUAUGUAAAGCUCUAUCAGCAGGGGAGAUGAUGACGGUACCUGACUAAGAAGCCCCGGCUAACUACGUGCCAGCAGCCGCGGUAAUACGUAGGGGGCAAGCGUUAUCCGGAUUUACUGGGUGUAAAGGGAGCGUAGACGGCAUGGUAAGUCUGAAGUGAAAUCCCGGGGCUCAACCCCGGAAUUGCUUUGGAAACUAUCAAGCUAGAGUGCAGGAGAGGUAAGUGGAAUUCCUAGUGUAGCGGUGAAAUGCGUAGGUAUUAGGAGGAACACCAGUGGCGAAGGCGGCUUACUGGACUGUAACUGACGUUGAGGCUCGAAAGCGUGGGGAGCAAACAGGAUUAGAUACCCUGGUA
rnacentral:rRNA from 1 species